AGCGAGACAGUGAAUACAAUAAUAUAUAUAGAAUAGAGUGGGAUACAUUGAAAUACAAUGAAAAAAAAAGGUAGUGAAUACAAUGAAAUACAUAAAAUAUAGCGAGAUACAUUGAAAUACGAUGAAAAAAAAAGACAAUGAAUACAUUGAAAUACAACGAGAUACAUUGAAUUAUAUUAACAGAAAAUUCAAGCUGCUCACCCCCAACAUCGUCUUUGUUCAAGAACAACCCUAAUGUCGUCUCGUUGAAGCAACAUCAGUAUCCAGUUCUCGCUCGUCGUCGUCGCUGCCUCCGGUUACUGACGAUUAGCACGUAAAUACCGGCAAAAUAAUGGAGACUUCUCCAAAACCUUU
rnacentral:lncRNA from 1 species